rnacentral:rRNA from 1 species
CAGUAGCCGCGGUAAUACGAGGGGGGCAAGCGUUGUUCGGAAUUAUUGGGCGUAAAGGGUGCGCAGGCGGUUUGUUAAGACAGAUGUGAAAUCCCCGGGCUCAACCUGGGAACUGCAUUUGUGACUGGCAAGCUAGAGUAUGGCAGAGGGGGGUGGAAUUCCGCGUGUAGCAGUGAAAUGCGUAGAUAUGCGGAGGAACACCGAUGGCGAAGGUAGCCCCCUGGGCCAAUACUGACGCUCAUGCACGAAAGCGUGGGGAGCAAACAGGAUUAGAUACCCCCGUAGUCCCUGUCUCUUAUAC